CGCUUAGGCGUGUGACUGCGUACCUUUUGUAUAAUGGGUCAGCGACUUAUAUUCUGUAGCAAGGUUAACCGAAUAGGGGAGCCGAAGGGAAACCGAGUCUUAACUGGGCGUUAAGUUGCAGGGUAUAGACCCGAAACCCGGUGAUCUAGCCAUGGGCAGGUUGAAGGUUGGGUAACACUAACUGGAGGACCGAACCGACUAAUGUUGAAAAAUUAGCGGAUGACUUGUGGCUGGGGGUGAAAGGCCAAUCAAACCGGGAGAUAGCUGGUUCUCCCCGAAAGCUAUUUAGGUAGCGCCUCGUGAAUUCAUCUCCGGGGGUAGAGCACUGUUUCGGCAAGGGGGUCAUCCCGACUUACCAACCCGAUGCAAACUGCGAAUACCGGAGAAUGUUAUCACGGGAGACACACGGCGGGUGCUAACGUCCGUCGUGAAGAGGGAAACAACCCAGACCGCCAGCUAAGGUCCCAAAGUCAUGGUUAAGUGGGAAACGAUGUGGGAAGGCCCAGACAGCCAGGAUGUUGGCUUAGAAGCAGCCAUCAUUUAAAGAAAGCGUAAUAGCUCACUGGUCGAGUCGGCCUGCGCGGAAGAUGUAACGGGGCUAAACCAUGCACCGAAGCUGCGGCAGCGACGCUUAUGCGUUGUUGGGUAGGGGAGCGUUCUGUAAGCCUGCGAAGGUGUGCUGUGAGGCAUGCUGGAGGUAUCAGAAGUGCGAAUGCUGACAU
rnacentral:rRNA from 1 species